rnacentral:lncRNA from 1 species
UUUUUUUUUUUUUUUUUUUUUGUCAUCUGUAAUUAAAAUAGUACUCAAAAGAGCCAUUCUUGUGGAAUGUUGUUUACAUAAGUGAUAUGAAGCGGUUCCGUACGAAUUUUUCGUGCCAGAUUAUCCGCUUUUGCAUUUGCACAACGAGAAAUUAAAGAUAAAGAGAAGGUAGAGAACUCUUCCUUGUCGCUCUGAAAUUCCUCCAGAUACACUGAGAAGGCCGGCCAUUCGGUUGGGGAAGACACCAUCUUCACUAGGUCAGAACAGUCUGUAAGGAAUGCUACCUCUUGAUUAUCUGCACCAAUCAUACACUUCAUCGCCCAAAGGAGGGCUUCGAAUUCGGCAUGUAGCGGAGAUAGGCUUCUACGGAGGUUGGCAGCUCCCAUUGUUGAUGGCUCACCGUUUGAUGGUGUACAAAACCACCCUAUCCCGGAAAACUUGUCGCUGUCUUUCCAGGAUCCAUCCACAAAACAACGGUAUCCUGUAAAAUCCGAAUCUAGGGACACCCCCCUCGUUUGAGGCCGAUUUGGAAAUUCCACUGAAGCCUGAGUUUCAGUAUGAAGCUCCACCUGAGCUGAGUGCCACAGUUGUGCCUCUCUUUCCGCUAACCGUAAAACCUCUAACGGAUCGUUAUCCACAUUUUCAAACAAUUUUUCAUUCCGUGCUUUCCAAAUAUACCAAAUAAUCCAAGGAAAAGCUAUAGAAUCAAACUCCGAUGGUAUUCUCCAAAAUAAAUGAUCCAAGUUUGCAAAAAUAGAAUCUGUGGGAAAAGUCCCCAUAACCGUAGGAAUCUGAGAAAGUGCCCAAACCUGUCUUGCAGGAUGGCACUGGUGCAAAAGACUCUCUCUUUAAACUUAUCUUGAUCACCGUUUAUCCAUUCUUCACUUUUUAAACUAGAAGACUAUCUCAUUGAACUCAUGUUUUUGCAUUAACUGUACCUAUGUACUACCACUAAUAAAAAAAAAAAAAAAAAUUGUCGACUUAACUGACCAAAAUACAAUUAUAAAGUGUUGAAGGUAUAUAUAAGAAAUAAUAUAGUAAUGGUUAAAAAAAACAAAUUUAAGAUGGUAUUUAAGGUGUUUUUUUUAUUGAGUUAUAUCAUUCAUAAAUCCACUACGUUUAAACGAUUGAAAUAAAUCGUUUGGUUUUAUAGGGUUUAUUUAGGUUUUAAGACAAAUAAAUCAUUUUGUUGAAAGCCGUUUAAAAUUCUAAAAUAAAAUUUAAGCUUUUAUAAUGAUUUCGAAAGUUGAGUAGGCUUUACCAAAUUUAGUUUAUUAAUUACUAACUUGCUUUGUUUUUUUCUUAAUACAUCUUGAGUUGUGAAAACGCUAGUUUUAUGUGCAUAUGGUACGGUAAACCCCUUUAUCAUUUUUGAUGAAUACAAAACUAUACAUGCAUUGAAAUUGCAUUUUUCUUGGUCCUUUAUUUUGGAGAACUCAAUUAUUCUAUAAUUAAGACCUAAGAAUCAAAGAAAAUGAUAGAUUUGAAGAUGAAAGUCCACCAAUGUCGAAACUAGCCGAAAGCAAACAGAGAUAUAUGACUACUAGAAGUCAAUCCUAACUUCCUGAAGAACGGAUGGUCAAACCGGUUUUUCUGUUCUGAAUUUUAGUGACAAAGUAGAAAUUCAGAAUAUUUCACUAAUUUGUCACAAAUCCAGAACAAUUAAGAUUGAAAAAUUAUAUCAAAUAAUGAAUUAUUGAAUGAACAGACUACCACAAAAACUAUUACGGGAAUAAUGUCUAAUACGGUAAAACCAUCGCAAAAUUAACUAAAAAUAUGUCUUUCCAAAAGUUUUUCUCGUUUACUAUUAUUUUUAUGUCAAAAUUUCACGAGAUUGCAGAACACAAAAAAACUUAUCUCUACUGUUAAAGAUCUAAGCAUAGAUUAUUUGCCAGGUACUUGCAUAUUUGUUACCAUUGAUAAGUUCGCAUAAAUCUUUAAUUAAGAAACGCUUCAUAAUUCUAAAGUUCUGGCAAACGUAACUCUACAUCAACAUUGUGCAAGAUUGGUUACAUACUCCAAUAUCUUUACUUGAGACUACUUGCUAAAUAGUGCAUAUAACAAUGAGAUUAGGAAAAAGGAUGUGAGAUAGUUUUAUGACUUUAAAGGAGUGAAUUUCAUAUGGCAUUGAAGAUUUUCAAAGGAAUAAAUAAGAUCUAUGUGGCAAUCAAGAUCUCUUAUACAUUCUUACUCGUUAGAGCAUGUGCAAUGAGAGUCUCUUACAAAAGUCUCUCACAUAUAAAAAUAUUAAUAAAAUAAUCAUUAUUAUUAUUUAAAUAUAAGAGUCUCUAAAAAGUAGAGAAAGUCUCUCAUAGUCUUUCUCCAUUUUUUGAAAGACUUUUGUAUUUAAAUAAAAAUAUUGAUUGUUUUAUUAAUAUUUUUGUAUUUGAGAGACUAUGGUAAGAGAUUCUAAUUGCACAUAUUCUUAGAUAUUCUAAACUUUGUUUCGCCUAGUUCGCAUAGAUCUUUUUUUUUCUGCAUCUUAAAUCAAUAACAUUAGUUCUACACUAUUUUUUUUAUUUUCUUAGUUUAAAAAGUAUAUCUCUUUAUAAUGGUAAAACCGUAAAGCUGUAUAAUUUCGAUCAUGAUAGUAGUCCCUUUUCUCGAAAGUAUAUAUUCCAAUAAAAGGAGAUCGAUAACUCCUUUUUCCUGUUUCUCAAUUUACAUUUCACUCUUGAAAUUAUAUUUCCUUCUAUAUAUCAGAACUUUGUAUAUCAAUAUUCUGUCAAAAAAAAAAAGCUUUGUAGGACACCGUUAAUAAAAAAAAAAGUGAAAACAGGGACGUAGGCAAUAUGAAGCAUGCACGUGGGCCCCAAAAUCAGAGUGAGAUAGCUUUGACCACACAAAAUAGACGCAUAGGUGACCGUGACUAGGUGUAACGCAUCCUCACACCUUUUAUGUUUUCCAUUUUUACAUUCUUCCGUUUGGAAAGAAAACAAUUUUUGUUUUCAUGUUCAUUACUAUAAAUUUAUUAAACAGAAAGUUAGGAGUUUAAAAAUUUAUGAAAUUUGAAGUCUAGGUACUUAGGGAUUAUUACGGAUUUUGUCUUUUUUUAUAAUGGCAUUUAUAGAUUUUGCCCUAUUUUAGAUAGUUUAUGGAUUUUGCCCUUUUUUAACACUUAAAAAUGUACGUAUUUAUGAUUUUUUUACAAACAAAUGGAACCGACUAAACUCAAACAUAACGAAUGAAACGCAUGUUAAAUCAUAUUUUUGGAGCCUAAAAAAUGGCAAAAUCUAUAAACUAUCCAAAAAAUGGCAAAAUCCAUAAAUGCCAUUAUAAAAAAAGGCAAAAUCCAUAAUUAAUUCUAAGUAAAUUAGAUCGAAUUACCAGAUUAUUAAAAUUUGUUUUUUUUUCGUCACACUUUCAUCGGUGUUAAAUGUGACACUUUGACACAUCGCUUUCUAUGUGAAAUCUUCAAAUAUAAGGAAUCACGUUAUUUCUUUAUUUUGUGUCUAUGUUCUUUAACGUUUGGUAACCCCCAAUAAUUGCAUGUUUCGCCACAAAUAAAUAGUUGAAGUCAAUGAAAACAACAUUCUCUAUAGUUUAAAACUUAGCAACAAAAUAAAAUGAACGACUUGCUGAUUAUCUGCUACCGCAAAUUUGACAUUACACUUCGAAACAUCGCAUGCACUUUAAACGAAAAUCGACCGCAUCUGCAUCUAAAUUCCCACAUAUGUGGUUCGUUGGAUCCUCGUAGAUUGUCGGGAAGUUCGAAACUCUCUCUUUAACUCGCAAACUCUAAUUGAUUCCGCUUCCUUAGUUAAUGCUUGGUUUGUUGUUUUGAUGAUAUGGUUUGCUCAGUUGGUUCUUUCCCACUUUUUGUAUUGGGCUGAAAGCACAGUAAAAUAUGUGUAGAUAAAACUGUCAUCAAACGAUCAUAUAUCAUAUCAAACAUAAUCCACAUAAAACAUGAACGGAGAGAAACCUUAGCUGAUUCUAAAUAUAUAGUAGACUUAGUAGUGACUUAAAUAAAUCGAAUAGCAUGUUAUUCGUGUCUUAUAUGAUAAACGAGUUUCUUAAAUCUCAUAUUUAGAGAAUAAUGUGUAAAUGAAUCGAACUCAUUUGUCACGUACUUGCCCAAGUCAGUGAUAUAUACAAUAGAUCUAAUUAGCACGUACAAUGCCACUUGUUGGUUCGAAUUCGUCCACUUGUCCCAUAAUAUUCAGGUUGAAGUUAACACAUUAUUGGUUAAUUAAUUGAAAAAAACAAACACACAAUGAAAAAAAGAGGCGCGUGGGAACGCGUGAGGAGAAGAAAAAUGUUGAAGAUCCAAUGUGAGAAGAGAGAGACAUGGAGAAUCCUUUGGAUUGGCAAAGACAAACCCCAAGGUUUAGUGCAGUGUUCUUCUCCAUUGAGCCAAGUGACCAAUAAUCCCAUUUAAAUGAUUAUAUAUAUAUAUAUAUAUAUAUACAUAUUUAUAUGUGUCGAUUAUAACGACAAUUAAGUAAAUACAAGGAAAUUUAGACAAACUGAAUCUUGCUUGGCCUUCAUCGAUAAACACAAAGUUAUGUGUAAACUUACGAUUAAUUUGUUUCUUGUAAUCACGUUUUCCAACCAUAUGAUUAUUAGCUUAACUAAUUAAUAACGUUACAUUCGAAAAAUUCAUUAAUUCUCACCUGUCCAUUAAUCUCUUUCGUUUGCUAAUAAUGGAUCCUACUUUUUUUUUACGAUAGUAAUAUUCUCGUACACGGUAAAAUAGAAAGAACAAACAAACGAUGAAGGAUUAAUUUCAUGAAUAAUUCAAAAGGUAAUUAAUGUGAACAUCCACUUGGUGUUCAGUAAAAUUAGUCAAGACUGGAGAAUAUAAUUCAUUGCUCAUCAAGUCCAAGAUCCUCAAAGAUUCUUCCGGAUUAUAUGCAUGUUAACAUUUUCUAUACGUAAACAUACUUCUUUUCUUUUUUUAAGUACGUAGGCUUACAUACAUACAAUUUUAAGAUACGUACAUGCAUGUAUUAUGUAUACAUAGUAAACAUAUAGUUUUUUUUUUCUCAAUAAUUAGCAAGUACCAUAAAGAGAUAAAAUAAUGAAAACCUUAAAAUCAUUCAAUCCGAUUAGUUUUAGAUUCUUCUAUUAUUGGGUUGAAAAUAUCGUCCAAGUAGUACGACACAUCACACAUACGAAGAAAAUGUAAACGUCUCCGCGAAUUAGUGUAGUGUAUGACUUGUUCAAAUAAUUGGCUGGAAGUGAUAAUCAUAGUACUAUCACACAUAAUUUUUUAUACCAUUCUUUAAUUAUGAUCCUUAAAAACCAGGGUUAUUGAUUUCAGCACCAAGGUUACGUUGUUUUGUCUCAAAAAUUGGUGAUUAGAAAAUGAGGGUUGUGAUUAAAUCUUUUUCGAAUAAAUAAAGUAAUCAACAAUUUUUAGACCGUGAAUUGUGUCGUAUCUGACGUCAAGAUCAUCGAAUUAUUAAAAUUAUUACUGCCAAUGCCAAGAAGUUCCAUUAUUUACCAUAAUUAAAAAAAAAAACUAUUUUAAUCAGAAUAUUUAACACGGUGUUAUAGUGAUAAUCAAGGCCAGCUCAAAAUCCAACAAUCUAUAUAUACAUUUUUGGAGUACACUUAGCAAAUAAAUCCUGGAGUUGAGAAGUAUUUACAAGGAAUGCCAUUGGUGGGUCGGGUCAAUUUAAAGAUUUUGCACCGGAAAUAUUGAAACAGAUCUUUCCUUAUAUUUCUGCAAAAUAUUUGUUAAUAUCCAAAACCAAAAACUACAUUAAAUGGUUGCAUUAUUGAUUAAAUUUAAUCUAUUAUUUAAUUACCUAAACAACUAACUGGAUUUUAUACAACUGAUCGAAAUUUUAGAGUAUGUGCAUCACUUACUAUUAACACAUUUUUUUGAAAAACGUUUAAUGCUGAAAAUAUUUAGUUUAGGUUUUGGAAAAAAUAAUAAUUUGAAAUCAAUUCGACUCAAUUUAGCAAAAACUAACAAACAACUAAAACAAAAAAAUUUCCAAUAUAAUUCGUAGUUUUAGUUGUUUAUAAAUUUUAGUUGUUUAAUUAUAAUUCUCUAGAUAUUCAAAAAUUUUAAAUUGCCUAUUCUCUAGAUAUUUAGUUGUUUAAAAAUUUUGCUGUUUAAAUUUAAUUGUCUAAAAUUUUAGUUGUUUAAAAUACUUUUAAUUUUACGGGACGGGGUUAGAUGGUGGGACGGGUUUGGGUCGAUAUUAAUACGAGAUGAUAUAAUACGGGUAAAAUCCUAGAUAUAACAAUCAAAAUACAAUUAUAUCAUCUUAAACACUAAACAAAACAAACAAAAUUAACAAAAAAAUAUAAUUUUAAUUUUAAUUUUUUUAGUUAUAAAAAAUCGAUCCGCGGUGUACCGCGGGAUACCUCAAACAUAGUAAUUGUACACUAAAUAAUAUAUAGAUAUACAAGUUAUACAUUUAGAAAAUUCAAAAUAUUAGGUCAUAUAUAUAUAGUUUGUCUACUAAAAAAUUACAUUAUGAUUUUUUAUUUUUAAAUAUAGCCCCGCGGUUAAAAUCUAGUUGUUAACAAAAACAGAUUGGGUCCUAAAAUAUAGAUAGAUUUUGUUGGGAAUCAUGUGCUGAAGCAUAAGUGAGCCUCUCCUACAAUACAGUCCUCGAUUUAAUGUGAAAGUACUAGUUUAUUUGGGGUCAAGUAAUGGGUUGGCCCUUCCCGUUUGGUUAAAUUAUAUCAAAAAAUCAUUUGAAAACAAAACCAAACUUUUAAUCAGUUUUACAGCUUUUAUAUCAAAGAAUCAUAACUAAACUUUCAUGGAGCACUUUUUUCACACACACACACAUAUAUGUAGUUUUCCAGAAAAUAUGUAUAUAUAUGAGAAAACCAAAAUGAAGUAGAUUCAGUUUUCUUAAGAAAAGAGGGACAUUUGUUGACAUAAAAAGAGGAUAUUUUUAGUGACUGAAUAACCUAUGGUUGAAAUUUACUACAUAUAAUAAUUCACAUAAUAAUAAAAACAUGACAUUUAGGGGUUAUUACGGAUUUAUGGCUUUUUUGGGUCCAAACUUUCAAUAUGGGAACUAGUUACCCAGUCUUACAAUAUUAGGUAUUUUCUAACUAAGGAAAAGACUUUUUUACCCCUGUAUUCUCUAUCUCUUUCUCCUUCUUCUCCCAAACCACAGCCACCGUUUCUUCUCUUCCCUGUAUUUUCCGAUCAACACUUCUACGUUAAAUCCAUCACCUUUAACUUCAUCGACACCAUCGAUAAACACUAAACAUCUCCACCAACAACAUCAUAUCAGAGCUCCGAUGAAUUCAAUAAUUAAUUGUGUUUUGAAUAAACAAAACUAAACCCUAAGGGAUAGUAUCUAGUAAACCCAAGGGCUCCUAUUGCAGAUCCUGGAAAAAUCGCGACUAGAACUGUUGGUGAUAGCUCCUAUCUUCUUCUUUUUUGAACAAACAGCUCUGUUUUUCUUUCCUCAUAAUAAUCCGAACGAACAAACCAAGCUCUGUUAAACAAUCUUAACUCUAACCUAUGAUCGAUUUCAUUAGUUUAAUUAUCGCUGGAGAUAUAUUAUUAUCAUCGGCCAUCGGCCAUCGCAGGAAUUGAAAAGAGAGAGAAAAUUGUCGUCAUGAUUUUGGCUGUCACAAUCGACAAUGUGAUAAGGGUCAUUUUCGUCUUUUUAUCAUCUCAUAAAUGCCUAAAAACCUAAGUCCAGACUAUCAAACCUGAAUUCGUAAGAAGUUGGUGGGAAAGUACCAAUCCGGUAAUUAAUUCUGACAUUUAUAUAAGAACGUAAAAAUGUGAGCAUGUCUAUUAGUUCGUGUAAGGCAAAUGGAUAAGUCCUUCACAUGUCCAUUAGUUGAUUAGAGAAGUUCCCUUCUCACGAUACUCGUCUCCGCAUCACAACGGUUAUCUAACUCUCACAUCUUUAAAUUAAACUCAGAACAAUAUAUAUAAUAGGGACUACGAAAAAACAGAAUUUUAUGGAGCCAUGCAUUUUCAUUCGAGACUGGAUGGUAUAUUUUCAAAGUAUUAGUAUUAUUUAUAUCUGAAAAAGGGUUUUCAAUUUUUUUUUUUUUUCAUUUUCUAAUUGCUAAAACAAACUUCAUCGAAUAGACUGUUAUAACUAUAUAUGAUCACCAAUAUCAGAAAAAUUAAUAUAAUUUCAUUGCAUUUUAUUAAUGUAAGCAAUGUUUUCUUUCAGAUUAAACUCCAAUUCCUUCGAAAUCUAUUAAAAAUGAAAUAAAAAUGGCAAUUGAAAUGGCAGUGGGAAGGUUUUAUUCAUUUUAAUUAGCUGAGCAUGCAAAACCAAUUUUCAGACGUACCAUUAAAUGAGAAUAUGCACAUACCACAUGUCGAGACCACAAGGAUCAAGCUUAAGAAUAUCUUACAGAAGCUAAAUAAUUCUUGUCUGAAAUCGUGUUUAGCACGAUCUAUCUUUCUUAUGUCAUCUGAAAUCGGUAAGAUAUAUAGAACGUAUACUUGUGAUUCUAUAGUGCAACGUUAUGUCAUCAGAAAAUUAUAGUACUCCCACAUAUUUUCUCUAUAUUUUUUAGUUUAUCAAUCUGUUGAUGAAUUUCGAAAAUUUUAGUGCAAUAUUCUUUAGUAUAAUAGAACACAAUAUAUCUUUUUAUCGAAGGAUCAGAAAAAAUUGGGUCCGGAUCUCCUGCGGGAAUUAUUUGGAAGAUCCAAAAAGAGUGGUAUUUGCUAUUUUUAAGGUUUAAAUAUAAUAGUAGGAUUAUAAACUUGAACUCUUCAAAAAGAGUAGCACAUACAUACCUUCAUUAAUUUAUACAUACGUAAAUAUACAAAAAUAUAUUAUAUUAUUUUAUGUUAUGUUUUUGGUGGAACAUUCAUUCACACCAACUUUCUAAUAUGCAAUUCACAUGUUUUGAAAAAAUAACAUUAGUUGAAUACGAAUUUCCAAUUAUUGAUUAAUUAUGUUUGAAUAUAGAAAUGUCGUUUUGAAACUUUUCACAUGAAAUAUUAUUAUGGUUUUACAAAAAUAAAUGAUGUUAAAUUUUUUUUACUUUAUCAUUUGACUAGGGAUAAAUUACAUAUCUCUGAUAAAAAAAAAGUUCAAUAAUUAAUUCAGAAAAAUAUUUAUUUUGAAACGAAAAAAAAGAUUGUAAAACGAUACUAAAUCGAAAUGGAAGAAAUGUAGACGAGAAAACCCAAAUAUAUGUUUACAACUCACCUCCUAUUUUAGAUACAAGAUAAAUUCAAGAAUAAGACUUCCGUGUAAUAAAAUAUUUGGUACACAAUUACACAUAAUUAAGCUAUUUCACGUGGGUUCUACAUACACAUGUAAGCGAUCAACUUCGAGUAAAAUUAUCGUAAAUAUAUUCAAAGUUUGAAGCUCAACUUCUAAUAAUUUAAACAAUGUAAUAUGCCUUAUUGCUGAUCAUAAUAUCCAUACGUGUACAUAUGUGGUUGUAAAAACUUAACACUAUGAACACAAAUAACGAAAGAAGCAACUAGGAAUUCAAAUACUCCUAGUAUAAUUAUGCAACGGAGAUAGUAUUAUAAGUAAACAAAAAUUAAAUUAAGGACAAAGAUCCAUUCUAGAAAGAAGGGCCACGUUUCAAAACACAGAAGCUUUAUCACCAUUAAUUAUGUAAGCAUAAUUAUGUAAAAUAAGUGCAUGUACGUUGGAAUAUGUGUAGAGCGUAAUCAAAAGCAUAAGCUCGCAUUUUCAUGGGCAAAUAAAAUGACUAGAGAAAGACACACCUUGUUACUUGUCAAGUUGUCAUGACUAUGUUUAAUAUUACAAUUGACAAAUAUCUCACUAUCUGAGUAAUCAAUACUAGUAAAAUAAAUUUUAGCUAUUAGAAAUCGAGAUCACACUUCGAUACAUAACAACAUGCAUAUAUUUCGAAAUUUAUUUGGAAAAAAGACCGCUUCCGUAAUAAGAAAGGCUUAGAAACAUAUAUAUUUAGGUAUGAAAGAAAAAUUAGAAAAACCUCAACAAUAAGAGUUAGAUUUUGAAACAUAUUUAGCCCAUAUAACAGCUUGGAAUACUUUUUAGACAUAACGAUCAUAUAUUCUUCAGCUGAAAAGUUAAUGUGCCGAACCUAUUUUAUGUAGCAAAUGCAAAUAACCAAUAGGUGGACCACUAUUACACCACACACACGUAUAAAUACACGAUUAAACACCAUUUCCGGAUAUCCAAUUCCACUCUUACUCGAUUUAUGUUUUUUUUUUUUUUUUGGAAGAACAUUACAUUUUAGAAGGUGUGUCUGUUAUACUAUGUAAACUUUUCUGGGAUGUUCUCUUAUAUUUUAUCAGAGAUUCUUCGAAAAAAAAAUAUACUAUACUAUAUGGAAGACACUAACAGACUAGAUCUUAUGCAUAAUAAUAUUUCACAAGAUAAUAAUUUUCAGUUUUAAUCACCAUUAGUUAUCACAUUAUCAUAGAGGAUGAGUGAUAACGCUUUCCUUGUUUUUACUAAAGUUUUUUUUUCUGGAAUAUAAAAAUUUAUGGAAUUAAUAUAAACAUAUUAAAAAUACGUCAGAGUGUCGAGUUUUCCAAUGUUAAUAAGUAGAGAAUGUGUGUAAAUAUCUUGGACAAGAAGUAAGAUGAUGGUUAGUACCUUAGUAAAGUAGCACUCAGUCAUUCUCAUUGACAGUCUUGGUUUAGAAGCAACCGAUGUUGGUCUUAUAAAUGUUAUGUUUCUAUGCUUUUGUCUUAGACUCUUAGUACUAAUUAUUACUGUAACUUCUUACACAACUCCCGUAAUUAAGCAUCAUUAUCGUAUGUAUAAGCUACAUAAGUUGAUUAUCUUAAUUUAUCUUGAUGGAUAUGCAAUCAUAUAUUUUCCUUUUCAGGUGACUCUAUGAAAAAUAAAAAAAUAUGAUAUAAAACUGCUAAUUUCAAAAAGGUUUAGUUGUCGAAAAUAUAUAUGGUAUAGAAAAUGUAAAUACCAUAUAUUUAAAAUUUAUUGAAAUUAGCUAUAUGUUAUAAAAAAUUUAAUAUUUUUUUUGGUCAGUCAUUAAUUUUUAAUAUUUGAAAAUUUUAGUUAUAAUUUAUACUUCUUCUUUUACAAAACAAUAAAACUAAAUUUAGUUUCUUAUGCAUAUUAAAAUCUAAUUCACAAUUACAAAUAUAGCAGUACUAUUAUAGUUGUGAUUAAGCUGUUUUUUUAUUGAAAUGAUAAGGGUUAAUUAAAAAAAAAUACUUUAAAAUUAAAAAAAAUUCCAGUUUUUUUAAGAAGAAAUUUGAAAAUAUGAAACAAUUUAAAAUGGAGAAAAUAUUUAACUAAACCAUGUGUAUUAAGAUCGAAAACAUUUUGAGUGGAAACUGAACAAAACUAGAUGUCUCAUGUCUGUUACCAUUAAAAAAUAUCGAGAAUAAUACUUUGGAAAGUCUAAAAGGGCAUUAAGCAUAAAAUUAAUAUAGAAUUAGGUACAUAUAAAUUGCGAAACACUAUUAAUUAGAGUACUACUACUAAGUAGUGUGUCUCACAGUCACAGCUUAGUAAAUUAUUUGUUGACAUGGCAGACUCAGUCCCAUACUCCAUAAUAGUCACACGUGCGACAACUUCGCAUCUCUCUCCACUGACGGUUUCGAUUCUGCCACGUCUGAUUUCUGACAUAGCACGACCGUGGGAUCAUAAUCUAAAGCAUUGGUCAUUCACUUGUAUCAGGAGUCGAAUCUAAAAAUAGUGCUAUUAUUAUUGAGUUCUAAAUUUCUAAUAACUUGAGUACAAGAAUAUCUACAUGAACCAGUUAUUAAUUAGCAAUGUAUAUUUUUUUUUCGCCUAUUAAUUAGCAAUGUACUGGCGUCACAUAUACAUGCAUAAAUUAGGGCGAUCUUUUUUUGGUUCUGAUGUUAAAAGAAAUUUUCAAAGUUGUGUCUUGUGAAAUGAAUUCCAUAGAAUUUCAUAAGAAAAUUAUUAAAAACAGAAUUGAACAUAUAACACCAAGAUAUUAAAAAUUACACAUAUAAAUUUUUAUCAAUGUAGAAUGACAUUUUAAAAAAAAUUUAAACGAUUAAAAAUAUUAUUUUUUAAAUUAUCAUUCAGAUUAAUUUUAAGUUUGCAUAUUGUAUGUUGUUGACAAAAAAAAAAUGAUAGUUGUGGAUGAAGAAAAGAACAGGUUCCACUUGUGAAAAAUAAAUUUGUGCUAUAUAUUUUUUUCAAAGUUUUGUUAUCAUUUUUGUCCGUGUAGUUAAAAAAAGAUUGACCACACCAAAAAGAAUAGUUAAUUUUGGUUUUUUUAUCAACAGCUCUUUUUUUUUUAAUCAACAGCUAUAUUUUCAUUGUUGCGGUAAAGUUGGUAGAUCUUAUGCAGUGUUCAAGAAAGCGCUAGGCGCUAAGCGGGCGGUGACCCAGUGCCUAGCGCCUAGAACGUCUAAUCGGGGCCUAGGCGAUUUUUAGGCGGUUUAGACGUUUAUAACAUAAAAUAUUAUAAAUAUGAUAUUAUAUAUAAAAGUUAUAUAAAAUGUCUAUAUAAAACUAAAAAUUAUGAAAUUAUAAACAAAACUAGAUAAAACAUUUAUUUAUAUUUAUAUUAAACAAUAUAUAAAUAUGUAUAACUAUAUAUAUAAAUAAAACUUUAAUUAAAAUUGAAAAAAAUACAUUAAACAAGAUCUAUGUAACUUUAGGCGGUCAAGACGGUUAUCUAGACGUCGCAUGAGAGCCUAGCGCCUAGUCGGGGCCUAGGCGACCGCCUAGACCGCUUUUUAGAACACUGAUCUUAUGAAAUUGGUAAAUCAAUUCAUUGAAUUUGUAUUCGCUGAAAUUGAAAAGCCCUAAUAAUAGGAGAAUUAUUGUGAAACCAUUUUCUUUUGUUUGCCUUUAAACAUGCAAGCCACAGAAUAAACUAAGCAAUAUCAUAUUGAAAGUAAUAAUUUGACUAAUUAUUCCGGGAAACCGUUUUAACAAUCUUUAACGCGAAAUUUGGCUAAAAAAGAUUUUUUUUUCCUUUUUUUUUUCUUUUUUUGUAUCGCUUAUGCAUUCUACAUAACGACGAUAUCAAUUUGAUAAUCUUUAGACUAAUAGACUUUUAGCUACAAAAUCCCAUGAUAUAAAUAUUAUUUUUCAAUAUAGGAAAUUAUGAUCUCAAAAUGAAAUUUAUGUAAUUUCUUUCAUUCAAAUUAUACAAUUUUGACAACAAGCUUUAGCACGACAACAAUUUUACAAAAUCUUUUCGUAAGUGUGCUGAUAUACUAACGAAUAUGAUAUACUAACGUAACGAAUAAAAAAACUAUUGAUUACUAGUUUAAAAAUAGCUCUUCAUUUUCAGAAGCAAGCUAACGGUUCUUUUGUUUCGACAUUAACCUUCAACGAGUAACUUAACUAAUAGCAAUAAUUAACAUUAAUUAACCGUCAUUAAUGACAUUAAUUAGUGGAGGCCACCAAGCUUACGAUUCUGUGUUUCACUACAAACAAAAAGGGAGAUUAGUGUGAGAAGACUGUCUAAAUCUCAGGCUGUUAUGUUCUUUCUUUCAGACUUAAUUAUGAUUAUUUUAAUAAAACCUGGUUUUCAGGGCCAUGCUCUUCUGGGCACGACCUCUCUCUCUUACCCUAAAAAAAUUGUAAAAUUAUCCAACUUAUGGAGACUUUGGACAUAGAUUUAUCAUUAGUCUAAUCACUGACACGUGUAGUUGAAUUCUUAUAUGUUACUUUGUAUGGUUUCAACUUUCAAAUAAGAGGUUUUGCAUGUUCGGAACAAUUAAAUAAUCAUAACAAAAUUCGAUUGUUUUAUAGAAUAGUAAAAAAACUAAUAGUUAGAUUCUUUACAAAACGCAAUUUAUCGAAAGCAAGGCAUCUUCGAAGUGGUCGUGUAAGAGUCUCGAUUUUUGCCUUUUUGUUAAAAGGUGAUUUUUAGUUAAUUUUAAAAUCAUUUUCCGUAUGUUGGUACACAAAUGAAAAUAUGGUGUGGGUUGAAAAUCAAUAUUAAAAUCAUCAUUUACAAAUACCAAAACUUUACUUUCACAAAACUAAUCACUAGUGGGAAUAAAACAGUAUAAGAUAUCACUGGUAAGUGAUAUUGCGCGAAAUUGAAAACGGAAUGGUGAGUAUAAUUUUAUAAUAAUGUAACAUAGUUAUUACUAAUUUACUAUUAACUAGUAGAAAAUGAAGAAUUAUUAAGUAAAGACAAAAUUAUUCAAUGCAACUGCAAUGAAACCCCGAGGGAAAGAAAGACCUUGUGUGGUUCUGCUAUUUCCAUGUGGCUGCUAGUGGUCCUUCAUACGUCAACUAUACUUGCAAGAAAAAUUUAAAAUCAAGUUUUAAAAUUAAAAUUUCAAGUAGUUUUGAUUGUUUUAUUUCAAUGUUUUGAGAUAGUGCUUGAGUAGUGGAAACAAUAAAACCAUUAGGAAUAGUCGAACAGACCUCGAAAGAAGCCUCGAUAAGCCCAAACUGAAACAUAUAUAUAUAUAUAUAAUCGCAUUGGUGACUCAAGAAUUAGAAAACAAACGUAAAAAUUCUAGUUUUGACAAAGCUUACAAUUUAUGAACUUACACUAACAAAAGAAAAACAAGCAAAUUACAAACCUUGCAAAAACAUUUACACCAAAAUAAAGAUUGCUAUAUAGUAAGUUUCGUUAAUUUAUUAUCCUUAAAUAACUUCUUCAUAUAUUUCAUUGAGUAAAUAACACUUCUUUAUAAUGGAAAUACAAAUAUUCACAAAUUUAACGAAAAUGUUUUGUUCACCUGUGAUUUUUUAGUAUUAAUUAUUAUCGGUGGUUACCAUUCAUCACAAAUUCGUAGUGAUGCAAAACAGAACCUUGUUGAAAAUUUCAGAACUUUGUGAAAUAUUUUAGAAGUAUUUUAAAAUUUACAAAUUUUUGGAAUUUUACAAUGGAUCAAUAAAAACUUUGAAAAAUUGUUUUUAUAACAUAUAUUGUUUUCAGAAAUUUUUGCAAGAAUAUAAAUAUGUUUCCUAUGAUAUAAAAAAUAUUUUUAACAAACUUUGGAUUUCCUUAUGUUUUUCUGAAAAUUUUACAGGUUUUGGAAAACAUUCAUAUGUUUUGAGAAAGUUUAAAAUGUUUGUCUGCCGAAACAUUGUUCAUAUUCCUCACUGAAAUGAUCAAUUUUUCUUUGAUAUUUAAACCUCUUAUAUGAAAUGAAAUCAACCCAACACCAUAAAUUCUAACCAUCUUUUAAAUCUCAUCAAAGAUUAUAAUUUUUUAAUCACAAAUUUAAUCUCUUUAACUCUAAAAUCCUAAAUCCUAUUGUCGUUUAACCCUCAUGGAUGUUCACGAUUGUCGAUCUUGCGUUCAUGUCUUCCCUAAAACAUAAGAAAAAAAAAACAAACGAAAAAAGAAAUUAAUUAGUUGAAAAAAAAAAAAAAAACUAGUUAGUUUCUUAUAACUCCUAAAAAACACUAUUCUACAAACUAUUUUCUAACAAAACGUAUUACUUCAAUACUUCUUAUAAAUAUUUUUAUUACUAACUUAUCUAAUGAUGAGAAACAAAUAUCUUGGAUUUGUAAAAUAUUUUAGGGAAAGUGUGGAGAUUAAUAAAUUAUUUCCGUAAAAUAUUUUACAAAUCCAAGAUAAUUUUUUCUUUACAUAAAAUAUCGAUUAGAUAUCUAAUUUCAUUUCAUUUACCAAAUAGAAAACUACAAAUACAAAUAGUGAAAAAACAUUAAAAUAAAUUGAAUUUUACAUAAAAAAAACUUACAAAAAUAAUACUCUGUAUAUGGAAAUUAAACUUACCAUAAUAAUACUGUAUACAUUAGAAUUAAAUUUGGUUUUGUUAAAAGGAAUUAAAUGAGUUACUGGCUUACUGCUUACUAGUUUUAGGGAAGGAGAAACCGAAUAGGGAAGUUAAUGCAGCCGACAUUUUUGACGACGAAUAGUUAAUUGGUUGUAAUGUCUCUUAAACCGUGCAUUACUUACAAUUAUUAAAGUAUUUAACAUCUUUGGAAUAUGGGAACACCUAUCUUUAAUAAACCAAAAAACAUGGAACACUUUUUUUUUUUCUUCUUCUUUCAGUCGACAAUAAUUGUUUGAAUUUUCAAUUUUGGGUUUGAAAUCUCUCGAGUCUCGUAGCCUACGACUGUUCAUGGAUAUCUAAAUCAAACCUAUAAUUUGAUAUUUUGUUAGACAUGAGACGAUGUUUAAUUUGGUCAUUUGAUCGUAAUUAGAUCCUCUUUAAUACACUGAUCCGUGGUAUAAUGAUAAAUUUUGAAAAAAAAUAUAGUACAACACUAUUAAAUGUUAAAACAUAUAGAGAAGAGAAAUUCCAAAUUUCCAACACUAUUAAAUGUUAAAAAAUAUAGUACAACACUAUUAAAUUUCCAACACUAUUAAAAAAAAUAUAGUACAACACUAUGUUUUAUGGACUUGUAAGAUAAAUGGUUAGAGGUGAUACUUUUAAGCUCGGACAAGCGAUGGAUCCGAGGUCCAUCAAAGCCCAUUUACAGAACUUGAUUUCAGUCCAAUCCAUUCAUCUAUAGAUUCUAUACUAUGAUCACUUUACUUCUUAAUUAAUAUUAACAACUUAGAUUUUAAAGUAGACAAAAAAGUAAUUAGAUUCUUUUACAUUUAAACCAAAAUACCACUCACAUUCCACCUAAUUGCGUUGUCAAAUAAUUUGACUCCACCAAAUAUUGUAACAUGCUUUCGUCAAACUCAUGAUAUGAUAUGAAUAAGAUAGAUUGUUAUUAACCAAUUUAGGUUGUUUAAUGGUUUGUACUUUGUACUAGUGUAAUACUAUCAUUGUUGCGUUAUCACUCGAGUUAAAACAUGCAUAAUACAUGUCGUUUAUUGGAUAUAGGAAACUCAUUAUCUCAUUUAGGGCAUAUCUUUGUCUCCCUCUAGUGAAAAUGUUUUAUACAUACGGUGCUGCAACAAAACUCAUUGUAAUCAUGACGGCCAUUGACCACACGGAGUCACGGACUAUCUCACACAGUAAAUCUGAACAACUCGUAGCAUAAACUGAUCACACAACAAAAACAUCAAAUCAUAAUUUCACCACAAGAAGAAACACCAGAAGAUUAUCAGUUUCUAGUUUCACAAAGAUGAUGUUUUUUUGUUUCGUUUAAAACAGGACCCACUUCAUUUGGUCCUGUCUUCAGAAAGUUAAAAAGGACACAGAGAGAGGUCUAUUGAAUCAUACAUAGAAAUUAAGGCAGAUUUUUCAUAUAGAGAUAAUUUAGUAGGUGGGAUUUUCCGUUUAGCCCAUGGCAUACUUCUGAGUCCAGCUCCGUGCAGUGGACUCGUACUUGUUCUUGUCAGUCUUGUACAUGUGAGCUAUCUCAGGCACCAAAGGAUCAUCCGGGUUUGGAUCGGUUAACAAAGAACAGAUCGAUAGCAGCACCUGUUCAUUGCAAAGCAGUUCUUAGAACAGCUCGGAAACAAACAACCAAUUUUCAUCCUCAAUGAGUCUAAGCUUAAUGCUUCAGAGAUAACUAAAAUCCUCAGAGUUAUACCUUCUAAUGGGAAAAGAUGAGCAAAAGAGGAGAAGAUAACCGAAAUGAGUCAAAGUUUAAUGAAGACAGCUCAAUGUUAUCACUUCAACCAGGAAUUAAGGAGCAAAAGCAAGUGUGAUAGAUUAUUGCUUCUGAAGCUGUUUUAAUAGAGAGUAUCUGCAUAUUGUUUGUUAUGGUGGGUUUCUAACGUUUACAGAAAAGAAGAAAAUCCGAACCUUGGAAAUGGUGAGCGCAGGACUCCACUGCUCCUUCAAGAUGUCGAGGCAAAUGCUACCGUUGCUGUUAAUGUUG